CUUGACACUGAACAUUGAGCCUUGAUGUGUAGGAUAGGUGGGAGGCUUUGAAGUGUGGACGCCAGUCUGCAUGGAGCCGGCCUUGAAAUACCACCCUUUAAUGUUUGAUGUUCUAACGUUGACCCGUAAUCCGGGUUGCGGACAGUGUCUGGUGGGUAGUUUGACUGGGGCGGUCUCCUCCUAAAGAGUAACGGAGGAGCACGAAGG
rnacentral:rRNA from 1 species